UAGAAAUAUUUUAAUGGUGAUAUAUAUAAUUUUGCGGGAAGUCCCUUUAAUAUCACGUGAUAAUAUAAUAAAGUGUGAUUAACCAAUUAUUUUGCUGGUUUUGGUUUCUGUGAUAAAAGUGAAGUUAUCAUAUUGUCGAAAAUAAAUGUAAAUCGUAAGAUUGUAAAUAAGAGGUAAGUGAAUCGAGUGUAAUACUAGUAAUACGAUUGUAAGGCUGUUGCAAACUGUGUACUUGAACCGUCAAGUUGUUAUGGCUGAAAUCGAGAAACCUCCUCCUUACCCUGUGACCUCAACCAAUCCCGAGAGAUCAGAUUAUACUUGCCAACCACCACAAGGACAUACUUCAAUCCCGCAAGGAUACCACAACGUUCCUACAUCUGGAUUACCCAAGUAUGGAAGUACUGUUUGUGUUCAUUCUAUAAGUCAGCCUCAGAUUCUGGUAAUUGGAGGAUGUCCAGCUUGCAGGGUAAGAAUGUAUCUAUCUUUUCUGG